rnacentral:rRNA from 1 species
GACAGAGGUGCCGAGCGUUAGGCGGAAUCACUGGGCUUAAAGCGUGUGUAGGCGGGCGAUCAAGUACCUUGUGAAAUCCCACGGCUCAACCGUGGAACCGCUGGGUAUACUGGUUGUCUUGAGCCGGCUAGGGGCGAGCGGAACAGACGGUGGAGCGGUGAAAUGCGUAGAUAUCGUCUGGAACGCCGAAGGUGAAAACAGCUCGCUGGGGCCGCGCUGACGCUGAGACACGAAAGCCAGGGGGAGCGAACGGG